rnacentral:lncRNA from 1 species
GACAAAAAUUAAUUUCAGAUAAAUCAAAAUCCUAAUCAUAAAGCUAAGCCAUAAAUACAGGAGAAUUUACUGCUGAUGUGGGGACUGGAAGUCUCUAUACAAGCUGUAAACAGUGGGAUGAGAAGGAAAGUUCUGUACUUAAUGUUCUAUACUUAAUUAAAAAUUUUUAAAUGUUCAUUAAAAGAUACCACUAAAAAAAUGAGUAAGUCAAGCCAAUCGUGGUUAGCACAGGCCUAUAAUGCUAGCUGUUCAUGAAGCUGAAGCACAAAGAUUGCAAAUUUAAUAGCAGCCUGGGAAACAUAGUAAGACCCUAUCUAAAACUUGGGAAAUAUAUUUAAAGGAUCUAUAGGUCAGUGGUAGAGCACUUGUGGAGCCCUGAGAAGGGGAGAUGAGAAAAAAUUAAUGGACCAAGUCCCAGGUUUUGCAGUAUAUAAUUAACAGAGGAAUUAUGGUAAGAAUCUAUAAAGAACUAUUUAAUGAAUUGUUAAAAACUUGUUAUGUAUAGAUGUUUGGUAUAUCUAUGAACCACCUGCAUAUGUUAUCUACAUAGGCCAGAAGAGGGCAGCAGAUCUCCCUGGCACUACUAGAGUUAUAGAAGAUUGUGAGCCACCAUAUGGGUGUUGAGACCCAAACAGGGGUCCUCUGCAAGAGCAGUAAGUGCUCUCAAUAGCUGAGCCACUGCCCCAUCCCCUAUAAAGAAGUGAUUUAUAAUUCAAUAAACAUGUGUGUAUGUAUAUAUACAUAUAUGUGUGUGUAUAUAUUUAUACAUACAUACACACACACACACACACACACACGCGUGUGUGUGUGUGUGUGGACAAGAUGCUAAAAACCAUUUAUUUUGCUUUCAAAACCCUGUGGAAUGACUACAAAAAUAAAAAAUAAAACAAUUAGUGUGGGUAAAUUGGAUAGAAAUAGUAGCUCUUUCACAUUAAUGUGCAGGUUAUAAAAUGGUACAGCCACUUUGGAAAACAGUCUUGUCAGUUUCUUAAAAAGGUAAAUAUGGGGGUUUCUGGGGGCAGGACCAGAGAAAGAGGGUAACAUUUGAAAUGUAAAUAAAGAAAAUAUCC